AGUCAGGCUGGAUUUACCAUAGCCCUGCAGACUCUGAGAUGUCACCCAUUUCGGGAGUCCUGGAUAUCGCCUUCCCGUCGGCAGAGUGCUGGCGCAGACCAGGAUGAGCUGUAGCCAAGGUCAGGAAGGAUGAUUGUGAUGAUGAUGGGAUGACAUUAAUACUGCAUCGAGGAGACAUAAUGGAGAAUGGGAAUGAAGACUCAUCUGUCACAAACUCCUCAUCCGUCAGCUGGAGGUUGGCAGUUGACAUGGCAACGAUGACUUUAGUUUGUUGUGCUGCUGCUCUGCUCAGUUUGCUGUGUUUCGGGAGGGACAGAGGAGCACGUCUGAGGAGUUGUUGUCCAUAGCUGGCAACCCAUGGGACCUGAGAUGCUAUCUCUCCUUCCAGCCAUCUGGAGCUCGCACCCCGCAUCCCCCCAUCGUCUGAGCUUUCCCAACAGCCUGAAUUCUCCCCACUAGCUGUCUGAGCUUCCCCAUUCCCCACUCACUUUCUCACCUUCCCCUCUGCCUGCUUCUGAACACCCCAUGUCCUCAACCCACCAGCUGAUGUGGGCUCUCCUUCACUACCCACCCCCCUCCUGCGGUGCUCCCCUCAUUUUUCUACCCCAUCUCUUUUCUCUCUCGCAGAUACAAACAACCUACACUGAUCUUUUCCUGGACCAAGGGACGUUGUCUUCAAAAGUCCCAACUGAGACAAAGGAAAGACAGCCCCUGACUUCAGCAGGGUUUGGAUCAGGCCCUUGGUCAAUUGGAUGGAAAUUCCCAGUGUGACUGACAUCCCUGUGCUGCCUGGGAUUGAUGGGAGUGUGCCAACCUCCAGCUGCAGGCUCUGUGUCUUUGUGCAUUAGGGACAAAAAAAAUCUGUGUACAAGUACCUUGACAGAAAGGGAGAACAGAGGAAAAAUGCAGGCCUACGGCUUCUCAUCCAAACGAAGCCGCACAAAAGAAGAAGCUAACACAGUGGAAAACCUCAUGUCUGCAAAGCACCAAGGAGGAAAUCAACACAACUUUAAGAGGUAGCAGACAGGGAAUAGAUUACAGCACUUUUAAAUUAAAGGUGUUAUGGGGCUCCUGGAGGGAACUGGCUGGGAGUAAGAAAGGAAUUUGGUGUCGUUAGACUCACUGCACUCGUGAAUCACCUACACUGUCUUGGUCCAUUAAGCUUGUGUCUUAUAACGCCCUCAAAAUGCAGACAGAAUCAUUCAGUAUCAGUGACAGCCUGUUUAUCUAAUCUCAAAUGACCUUUCGCAGAGGAGGCUCCACAGGCGACAUGAAUAUUUACAAUCCCAGUGUUCCUGACCAUCAUCCCUUUAAUUGCAAUUAAAGGUGUUGUCGUGGUUCUGGUGAAUGGCCUUCAGGUUGAUUUACGUGGUCAAACAGCAGGUGUGUUUAAGGCAGUUAUUGAUGGUAAUAUUGGCAGUGGAGUUUUCUGUUCUAUGAAAUGAAAACGUAAGCAAAGGAAAGGUUGGUGUAUAUGUAAGCGGGGGAAUAGUCCAGCUGUUGUGGGGAACUUUCCAGGUUUAUACCCUACCCCGGUGAAAUGGGCUAGUGAAAGUAUCUGAGUCCUCGCUCCCACUUCCUUUACCCAGAGUCCUGCCUGACCUCGAGGACUCCCCUUCUACUCUCCCGUGUGGCAGAGUCCUCAUAACCCCGACAAGGCUGGGCCCAGGAUUCCUUGGGGGCUCGACUCCCAACCUUGUUGUGGUCACUUAGGAUAGGGGCUAGGGUGUCCCCACUCUGGGGUGCUCUCUCUGCACAGGACGCUUCUCUGACCCACUGAUCAUUACAUACAGUUCAAAGCAAAUAUGAUUUAUUAAACAGAAAUCAAUUAAAAAAGAAGGGGAAAUGGGAGCUAGCAACCAAAAAACCCCACUGAGUUUUAGUAAGGGGCCAACAGUCCCUUACAUAUAGUAUGGGGGAUGUGCAGAGUUCAAAAAUGUGCUGGGUCCUAGGGGCCAGAAUCUGUUUUUGUUUACAUUGGCUUUAAAUCCAGAGCAACCCCAGGAUUGUUAGUCUGGAUUCACAUCAAAUCUCAUGUACAUUGGUGUAUAACUGGAGUAACCUUAAUAGUUAUUCUGGAUUUACAUCUAAUCUUAUUUACAUUAGUAUCAGCCCAGAGUAAACUUGAUAGAAUUAGUCUGGAUUUAUAUGUGAUCUCAUGUACAUUACUGUCAAUCUGGAGUAACCCCAGAAGAGUUGCUCUGGAUUUCCAUCUGAAUUCACUCAGUCUGGAAUAUCUCCAACAGUUACUUGGCUUGGUGUGUAAUAUUUUACAGUAAUUUCAACUGCAAUUUUUAAUUGAUAUUGACAUAUAAAAUAAAAACAUAAAUUCAAUGCUUGUGAAACUCA
rnacentral:lncRNA from 1 species